rnacentral:rRNA from 1 species
CCUACGGGAGGCUGCAGUGAGGAAUAUUGGGCAAUGGGCGUAAGCCUGAAGCAGCCAAGUCGCGUGAGGGAUGAAGGUUCUAUGGAUGGUAAACCUCUUUUAUAAGGGAAUAAAGUGUGGGACGUGUCCUAUUGUGUAUGUACCGUAUGAAUAAGGAUCGGCUAACUCCGUGCCAGCAGCCGCGGUAAUACGGAGGAGCCGAGCGUUAUCCGGAUUUAUUGGGUUUAAAGGGUGCGUAGGCGGCCUUUUAAGUCAGCGGUGAAAGUCUGUGGCUCAACCAUAGAAUUGCCGUUGAAACUGGGGGGCUUGAGUAUGUUUGAGGCAGGCGGAAUGCGUGGUGUAGCGGUGAAAUGCUUAGAUAUCACGCAGAACCCCGAUUGCGAAGGCAGCCUGCCAGGCCAUGACUGACGCUGAUGCACGAAAGCGUGGGGAUCAAACAGGAUUAGAUACCCGAGUAGUC